rnacentral:rRNA from 1 species
UUGCUUCUUUCAAAUCUAGUGGCAAACGGGUGAGUAACACGUAAACAACCUGCCUUCAGGAUGGGGACAACAGACGGAAACGACUGCUAAUACCGCAUGACACAUCGGAGUCGCAUGGCUCUGAUGUCAAAGAUUUAUCGCUGAAAGAUGGCCUCGCGUCUGAUUAGCUAGUUGGUGAGGUAAUGGCCCACCAAGGCGACGAUCAGUAGCCGGACUGAGAGGUUGAACGGCCACAUUGGGACUGAGAUACGGCCCAAACUCC